AGUGAACGCUGGCGGUAGGCCUAACACAUGCAAGUCGAACGGCAGCACCGUAAGAGCUUGCUCUUACGGGUGGCGAGUGGCGGACGGGUGAGGUAUACAUCGGAAUCUACUUUUUCGUGGGGGAUAACGUAGGGAAAUUUACGCUAAUCCCGCAUACGACCUACGGGUGAAAGCAGGGGAUCUUCGGACCUUGUGCGAUUGUAUGAGCCGAGGUCGGCUUAGCUAGUUGGCGGGGUAAAGGCCCACCAAGGCGACGAUCCGUAGCUGGUCCGAGAGGAUGAUUAGCCAGACUGGAGCUGAGACAGGGUCCAGACUCCUACGGGAGGCAGCAGUGGGGAAUAUUGGACAAUGGGCGCAAGCCUGAUCCAGCCAUACCGCGUGAGUGAAGAAGGCCUUCGGGUUGUAAAGCCCUUUUGUUGGGAAAGAAAAGCAGCAGGUUAAUACCCCGCUGUUCUGACGGUACCCAAAGAAUAAGCACCGGCUAACUUCGUG
rnacentral:rRNA from 1 species